UUUAUUCAGGAACAAUAUGUAUUAAUAUUUUGGUGUGUAUCUUGCCAAUAUCUUUUUUAAAAGUCUUUCUGAGAUUAUACUAUCUAUAAUUUCCCCAUCUCUGUAUAUUUCCUCAUAUCCUGUACUCUUCAUAAUGAUAUAUUUUUAAAUACUGUGCAGUAGUCUAGGGAAGUUUUAAUAACCUCUGAGCCUAUAUGGUUCCAGGUUUUUGCAACUGUAAAUAAUGCUGCUAGCAACAUUUCCCUGUAUGAAAAAAUUUUUUUAUUUGGGGAAGCACUUGGCUCUUGGUACAUGUUGCCGGGUGGAUUGCUAAUCCAGAAUGAGCAGUUGGUUAUACAGUCUUACCACUUCCCAUUUGACUUGACCUAUGGAUAAUUCAGAUGAAACUGUUCAGAAGAUGUAAUGUGACAUCCACCGGAGUCCCAGGCUGAGUGCCCUCACCCUCUGGAGUUCUGUUGUGGACUUGGAGCUUGAUUCUGCCUGCUGUCCACUCCGCUCUGCAUUAUCUGCUGUAAACAUGCCAGUCACCUGUGCUGACUUUACAGACAGUCUGCAGCCUGGCAGGGCCAGGUAGAAAAGUUGUAGCCAGGUAGGGGAGGAAGUCACUGUGACGACCUGGCUGCUUUCUGUUUGGAUAACUGGUAUUUAAAACGGAGAAAGCCAUGUGAUUUUAUUUUCAGCAGAAGUGAAAAAGCCCCCGAGAACAUUGAAGACACGUGAAAGGACAGAGGCAGAUCUUAUGAAGCAAAGCCAUCCAGACGCAGUUGUAUCACCCGUGUGAAUGUCUUUUACUGUGACAGUGGGAGCUACAGUUGCCAAUUUUCAGGAGACCUAAAUUACUAUUUCAGAUGGAUGCAGGCUUUAAAUUGGCCCCUGGAUAGCACAUUUCUUUUAAAAUUGAACCUUAAUUGAUUUUGAUUUUUUAAAGCUUGAAUUAAGUAGAAAAUUAAGGGCUUUUUAUAAUUAAAGAUGGUAAUAUAUAUUUAACUUGGAUGAUUACCUAAUAGAGAAUUAUUUAUACCCUAUUAUUAUUUUUAAAUAUUUAGUGUUUGCCACAAAAAGCAGAAAAUAUUCUGUCUUGUUGUUGAAUUCUCUUUAAUUCAUAUUUUAUAAGUCACAGACCAUUCUGAACAGGUUUGGGGAAGUUAGUGAAAACAUAGCCAGUAUGAUUUGUUAGUAUUAACAAAAUAUAUGCAGUUUUUUUUAUUCAUUUCUAAAUUGGAAUUUUUAGAAUUAUGAAUAUAAAUAUUUAUGCUCUUUCUGUUUUGAAGAAAGUACCUUAUUUCCUUAUGUGAAAAAUUUAUGCAAGAGUUCAAAAAAGCUCCAGGAAUAGAGUAAUAUUUUGAAUGGAAUUAAUUGUUUUUCACUUAACCAGAGUGGCCAAAUACUAUUUCAGCACAGAUUUAGUCCCAUUUCUGGACUUCCAAAACAAGAGACUAUUUACGAAUUCAUUUCAGUUUGGGUAUUUAUAAGAAGAAAAGACUGUUCUGAUGGCUGUGGAGUAGUCCUAAACACUGCGGCUUGGGAAAAAUACAAAGAUAAACUGCAGUGAUUACCAGUGAUUUACCUGUAGGUAUCCAAGUUCUUAUUGAGCAUAUGCCCUCCAUACAUGAAUUUUUAUUUAAAUAUAUCAUGCAUGUACUAUGUGUAGAUGAAUUUGUAUCAUUUAAAAAAUCCUUGCUGAACACUUGGGGAUAAAGCACUUUGAAAGACUGGUCCUAGUCCUGGUCGGUU